rnacentral:rRNA from 1 species
CAGGGGAAUAGCCCAGAGAAAUUUGGAUUAAUGCCCCAUAGUAUAAUUGAAUGGCAUCAUUUGAUUAUUAAAGUUCCAACGGUAAAAGAUGGGCAUGCGUCCUAUUAGCUAGAUGGUAAGGUAACGGCUUACCAUGGCUACGAUAGGUAGGGGUCCUGAGAGGGAGAUCCCCCACACUGGUACUGAGACACGGACCAGACUCCUACGGGAGGCAGCAGUGAGGAAUAUUGGACAAUGGGCGCAAGCCUGAUCCAGCCAUGCCGCGUGCAGGAAGACGCAUCUAUGGUGUGUAAACUGCUUUUGUACGGGAAGAAACACUCCCUCGUGAGGGAGCUUGACGGUACCGUAAGAAUAAGGAUCGGCUAACUCCGUGCCAGCAGCCGCGGUAAUACGGAGGAUCCAAGCGUUAUCCGGAAUCAUUGGGUUUAAAGGGUCCGUAGGCGGUUUAAUAAGUCAGUGGUGAAAGCCCAUCGCUCAACGAUGGAACGGCCAUUGAUACUGUUAGACUUGAAUUACAAGGAAGUAACUAGAAUAUGUAGUGUAGCGGUGAAAUGCUUAGAUAUUACAUGGAAUACCAAUUGCGAAGGCAGGUUACUACUUGUGGAUUGACGCUGAUGGACGAAAGCGUGGGGAGCGAACAGGAUUAGAUACCCUGGUAGUCCACGCCGUAAACGAUGGAUACUAGCUGUUCGGAGCA